rnacentral:rRNA from 1 species
GAUGAACGCUGGCGGCGUGCCUAAUACAUGCAAGUCGAGCGAACAGACGAGGAGCUUGCUCCUCUGACGUUAGCGGCGGACGGGUGAGUAACACGUGGAUAACCUACCUAUAAUACUUGGAUAACUUCGUGAAACCGGAGCUAAUACCGGAUAAUAUAUUGAACCGCAUGGUUCAAUAGUGAAAGACGGUUUUGCUGUCACUUAUAGAUGGAUCCGCGCCGCAUUAGCUAGUUGGUAAGGUAACGGCUUACCAAGGCAACGACGCGUAGCCGACCUGAGAGGGUGAUCGGCCACACUGGAACUGAGACACGGUCCAGACUCCUACGGGAGGCAGCAGUAGGGAAUCUUCCGCAAUGGGCGCAAGCCUGACGGAGCAAUGCCGCGUGAGUGAUGAAGGUCUUCGGAUCGUAAAACUCUGUUAUUAGGGAAGAACAAAUGUGUAAGUAAAUAUGCACGUCUUGACGGUACCUAAUCAGAAAGCCACGGCUAACUACGUG